GAUGAACGCUAGCUACAGGCUUAACACAUGCAAGUCGAGGGGUAACAAGAGAAAAGCUUGCUUUUCUUGUUGACGACCGGCGCACGGGUGAGUAACGCGUAUCCAACCUGCCUAUAACUAGGGAAUAACCUUGCGAAAGUAAGACUAAUACCCUAUGAUUUCCUCUGAUGACAUCAGAUUAGGAAUAAAGAUUUAUCGGUUAUAGAUGGGGAUGCGUCUGAUUAGCUUGUUGGCGGGGUAACGGCCCACCAAGGCAACGAUCAGUAGGGGUUCUGAGAGGAAGGUCCCCCACAUUGGAACUGAGACACGGUCCAAACUCCUACGGGAGGCAGCAGUGAGGAAUACUGGUCAAUGGGCGGAAGCCUGAACCAGCCAAGCAGCGUGCAGGAUGACGGCCCUAUGGGUUGUAAACUGCUUUUAUACAGGAAUAAAGUUAGCCACGUGUGGUUAUUUGUAGGUACUGUAUGAAUAAGGACCGGCUGAUUCCGUGCCAGCAGCCGCAGUAA
rnacentral:rRNA from 1 species